AUACCCUUGGCAAUUACCAAAAAAAAAUACUCCCUCCGUCCGUGAAAUGUUGUCCAGUUUUGUCAUUUCAGUCCAUCCGCGAAAUGUUGUUCACUUUGAUUUUUUUCAUUUUUGGUAAAUGAUCCCCACUUUCCACUAACUCAUUACACUCACAUUCUGUUUCAAAACCAAUAUAUAAAUGUGGGACCAACUUUCCACUCACUUUUUUUCAUAUUUCUUAAAAUUCGUGUCAAGUUAAACAUGGACAACAUUUUAUAGACGGAGGGAGGGAGUAAUGUAAAUGUGAUGGUCUAAAAUACAGAGAAUAAGUUACACUACGGAAAAUUUCUGAAAUGGGUCGAAAUUAGAAUAUAUGGGAAGGCUUUUUUUAGUGAAAACGAAUUCGGCACACUUUUUCUACUUUUUAGUUGAGUUGGAAAUGAUGUUAUUUUGAAAUAAAUUCUUAUGAGCCCAAUACUUUAAUUUCCUUCUUCUUCAAGCCCAUUCCAUUUUUGACUUAUCUUUUAAAAUGGCCAAUUAGGCCACAGCAACAGCUCCUGCUGCGUCGCCACAUUGGUGGUGUUUUGCCGGCUGAGGGAGCAUUGGCACUGGCAUCGGUUGCGAAUAGCAGCGACGAGCCUAGGUGAAAAGCGGAGAUCACCGGCUCUGGAUUUGGAUCUCCUGAGGGACGUUGCUUGAGAAGAAGAAGUGAUUUGGGGUAAGAAGAGUUUUGGUUGUAGUAGUUUUUAUUUCGGGCUAAUGGGAUAAUGAUUUUAGUAUUGGCCAACUUGCUUAAUUUUAUCAUUGGGACAAAGGAUAAUGUGUUGGGUUGGAGUAAUUUUCUUGAAAUAGUUGAAAAUUUUGGGCUGUCAUUAUUCAUGUUGGGCAAAGAUAAAUAAUUUGAAUGCUUGGCCGAUGGAGAGGAAGCUCCUGCCCUAUUAAAUCUUUUGGAGCUCGACCGCGAAAAUUUUAAUGGAGAUGAACAAGACAUUCUAAAGUCACGGAAAUUUUCUGAAUUUAUUAAGAGAGAUCGAUGGGUAAGAUUGAAUAUCUCGCAGGAUCAUGCAUUCCAAUAUAUUUAUUUCUCGAGAUUGAUGUGUGCACUUUAAUUGUUUUUUUCAAAAGGGUUGCCUUCGUGCGCAAGUUAAGAUCGGACGAGACGUUUGAGUUAAGGAAAAUUUAAGCUUUUGAGGUGGGCUUUAUUAUUUAAACUCUUUAAUUUCCAUAGAUAUGAGUAUUAUGCUAUAAGUGUGAUUUAAAUGUUAUGUCAUGUCGUAUUCUUAUAUUUUGAAUUGCCUAUCUGAUUGUCUAGUAGGAUGUUAUCCUACUAGACUUUUAUGGUUAACGAAUUCGGGUCUAACUAGGGUUUGAUCCCCCCUACUUAAGCUAGUGCACUAAUGGGGAUCGUGAGCAGGCUUUUGGGUUGGCCGGUCCAGUGAUCGAGUUUGUGGCCACAUUCUCGUUGCACAUGAUGGUUCAGAUGUGUUAUAUGAUGAUGAUGAUGAUGUUGUUGUUGUCUGUGCAGACACCUUUUACGAUGGAAAUGAUUUUAGUGUUUUUCGGUAUUUUUUUAAGUAAAACCCGAGAUUCACUCAACGGGAAAUGACCCUGCUAUUUAAAGGGAAAUUGCAAUUUUAUCCUAUGGAACCCUAAUUGCCACCAAAUAGCAUAAAAUUCAUUUUCAUUUGCCACACUCGAAAUCCAUCUUAUAUAUAAGCAAGUCGUCUCACUUUGAAACUUGCAACUCACUACAAGGAAAAUCACAAAAAGCCGACUACAUGUAAAAUUCACCUAAAGAACAUUCAUUAUUGAAACUUAAUUGCCGCCGUCCAUAUUUGUAAUCUUAGAUCAUGCAAUAAAUAUAGUGGUUCAUAUGGAUGUGUCAUACUUUGGUAUUGAUUGUGUUUUGUGUUGGUUCUUUGGUGUCAAAAUUUAUGAACUGGAUUUGACGGUCUUUAACACAUUCAUCUCUCAAUGCGUCUGCGUGAUUUACGGCAUCAUGGGAGUUCAAAUUCACGGCAGCGAUAGUGGUGGCCUAGUCAACGGUGGGUAUAACAGAGGCUCAGUAGGAGGUCGUGUGGCGGGGAACGAAAGGUCAUUUCUACCAUCAGCCCCAUUUCAAAUGAGUCAAAUGGAUAUGGAAUACGAAUACAUAAUCUGGAACAGAUUGCAUACGAUGCUGUUUUACGAGCUUUCAAAGCACAAUCUGAUGCACUCACAUGGGUAUAUUCUGCUACAUGUUUAUCAAUUAUAAGUUAUGUCUUUACUAUGUUUGGGAAGACUGUCUCAUCGGAUUGGAUUUGGCUGUUUCUUGAUAUAUUUGUUUCUCAUGAGAAAGAGGGUCUUAUAACAGAAUUGAGGAAGGAACUCAGGGUGUCAGAUGAUGAGUAUCGGAACUACUUAGUCAGGUCAAUGGUGAUGACCUCAUUCGCAGGAUCAGAGAGUGGAGGGAGGCAGGUGGUAACCGAAAUAUAGCCCCCAGUCAGCAUAUAAACAACCAGUUACCAAGUCCUACAAUUUCAGCUUCUCGUAAUAUGUUGAGCACUUUUGGAAUAGAUUAGCACUUUAUAAUUUUUAGUACUAGUUUUGUUUGUGUAGUUUAAGUCAAAGAUGACCAACACUUAAUAUUGUUUAGUUUGUGUGUUCAAACACGUUACAUUUUUGUGUAAAAUCAUCUGAUGGUUUGAAUAUUAUUCAAAUAGUUGUCA